rnacentral:rRNA from 1 species
CAGUCGCCACGGUAAUACGUAGGUGGCAAGCGUUGUCCGGAAUUAUUGGGCGUAAAGGGCUCACAGGCGGUUUCUUAAGUCUGAUGUGAAAGCCCCCGGCUCAACCGGGGAGGGUCAUUGGAAGCUGGGAAACUUGAGUGCAGAAGAGGAGAGUGGAAUUCCACGUGUAGCGGUGAAAUGCGUAGAGAUGUGGAGGAACACCAGUGGCGAAGGCGACUCUCUGGUCUGUAACUGACGCUGAGGAGCGAAAGCGUGGGGAGCGAACAGGAUUAGAUACCCGCGUAGUCCCUGUCUCUUAUAC